rfam:Lupinus angustifolius cultivar Tanjil chromosome LG13, whole genome shotgun sequence.
AGUUUCAACUUAUGAUCUGAUCAUUCAAACUCUAAAUGGCCUAGAUUCUGAAUAUGAUCCUGUAGUUGUAAAACUGUCUGAUCAAAUUGCACUUAGUUGGGUGGAUUUACAAGCUCAAUUGCUAACAUUUGAAA